UUCCGGUUGAUCCUGCCGGAGGUUACUGCUAUCGGUGUUCGACUAAGCCAUGCUAGUUAAAUGUUCUUCGUGAACAUAGCGGACUGCUCAGUAACACGUGGACAAUCUGCCCUUGGGUUCAGCAUAACCCCGGGAAACUGGGGAUAAUUCUGAAUAGAUCACAUAUGCUGGAAUGCUUUGUGAUUUAAAGAUCCGUCGCCCAAGGAUGGGUCUGCGGCCUAUCAGGUUGUAGUGGGUCUAGAGUACCUACUAGCCAACGACGGGUACGGGUUGUGAGAGCAAGAGCCCGGAGAUGGAUUCUGAGACAUUAAUCCAGGCCCUACGGGGCGCAGCAGGCGCGAAACCUUUACACUGCGGGAAACCGCGAUAAGGGGACACCGAGUGCCAGCAUACAAUGCUGGCUGUCCACAUGUGUAAAUAGCAUGUGAUAGCAAGGGCCGGGCAAGACCGGUGCCAGCCGCCGCGGUAACACCGGCGGCCCGAGUGGUAAUCACUAUUAUUGGGUCUAAAGGGUCCGUAGCCGGUUUAAUCAGUCUUCCGGGAAAUCUGACAGCUCAACUGUUAGGCUUCCGGGGGAUACUGUUAGACUUGGGACCGGGAGAGGUAAGAGGUACUACAGGGGUAGGAGUGAAAUCUUGUAAUCCCUGUGGGACCACCAGUGGCGAAGGCGUCUUACCAGAACGGGUCCGACGGUGAGGGACGAAAGCUGGGGGCACGAACCGGAUUAGAUACCCGGGUAGUCCCAGCCGUAAACGAUGCUCGCUAGGUGUCUGGAAUGGUGCGACCGUUUCAGGUGCCGCAGGGAAGCCGUGAAGCGAGCCACCUGGGAAGUACGGCCGCAAGGCUGAAACUUAAAGGAAUUGGCGGGGGAGCACUACAACGGGUGGAGCCUGCGGUUUAAUUGGAUUCAACGCCGGG
rnacentral:rRNA from 1 species